rnacentral:rRNA from 1 species
UACGUAGGGUGCAAGCGUUGUCCGGAAUUAUUGGGCGUAAAGAGCUCGUAGGCGGUCUGUCACGUCGGCUGUGAAAACUCGGGGCUCAACCCCGAGCCUGCAGUCGAUACGGGCAGACUAGAGUCCGGCAGGGGAGACUGGAAUUCCUGGUGUAGCGGUGAAAUGCGCAGAUAUCAGGAGGAACACCGGUGGCGAAGGCGGUUCUCUGGGAAUGACCUGACGCUGAGGAGCGAAAGUGUGGGGAGCGAACAGG